AGCGAACGUUUGCGGCGGGCCUAACACAUGCAAGUCGAACGCACUAGCAAUAGUGAGUGGCGCACGGGUGCGUAACACGUGGGUAAUCAACCCUUCAGCCUGGGAUAACGACUCGAAAGGGUCGCUAAUACCGGAUACGGCGCGAGAGGCUUCGGCUUCUCACGAGAAAGCCACGCAAGGGGCACUGAAGGACGAGCCUGCGGCCCAUCAGCUAGUUGGUGAGGUAAGAGCUCACCAAGGCUAAGACGGGUAGCUGGUCUGAGAGGAUGAUCAGCCACACUGGAACUGAGACACGGUCCAGACUCCUACGGGAGGCAGCAGUGGGGAAUAUUGCGCAAUGGGCGAAAGCCUGACGCAGCCACGCCGCGUGAGCGAUGAAGGCCUCGGGUCGUAAAGACGUCUGUGGGAGGAGGACGAAGAAAGACCGUAGUGAAGAGCAGGCCGUUGACGGUAGUCUCCUUA
rnacentral:rRNA from 1 species